rnacentral:tRNA from 1 species
UAGGCUUGUAAUAUAAUGGAAACAUGCGCUUGAUAAGCGCAAAAUUAGCAGUUCGAUUCUGUUCAAGCCUAU